rnacentral:misc_RNA from 1 species
AUUGCGAAAAUAGGUGAAUACAACUAUCAUUAAUAAUUUCGUCUUUGGACCAAAAACAGGCUAAGGGUAGAAUAGCACAAAGAGAAAGUGCUCCUAGUAAAAAAGCCGUUUUUGUAACUGGAAUAUGUUUUUUUAAACCAUUAAGAAUCAUAUUUUGACUCUUAUUUGGAGAAUAACCAAGAAUAGUUUCCAUUGAAUGAAUGGUGAUUGAUACAAAUUGCAUAUAAGAAUAAAUUUUUUACCUAUCAAACCCUGGCAUCUAUCAUGAAUGGAAGACUUAAUUUUGUUGAUGAUAAGCUGCUAAGUUAUGGUUACAUUUAGAAUGACAUGUUAUUGUGGUGCUGGUAGAAGUACGAAAUAUCAACUUAAAAAGUUUCAUUUUUGGUUGGCUUGUGUUCUAAAGAACUCUCUUUUGUAAUUACUUAAAAGUGUUUGAAAAAGUUUUAGAAUCAGUGCAAAGAAGUAAGAAAAUUUAGAUGCAAUGUAGGCUAUUACAUGCUUGGUAGAGUUUGUAUCUUUGAUUCUUGCAUGAAGUGUAAACAAGUUGCUGUGUUAUGAGAAUUUGCUGAGGUGGUUGUUAAUUUAUUUUUCCAGAGAUUAAUUAUUAGCAUUUAAAAGUUCUAUGUCUAGAUGCCAAGGUAUGAAGUUCUGUAUGGUCUUAAAUUAUAGAUUAUCAGAAUGUUUAAGUAGUUUCAUUUUUGUCAGCAAAUAUUGUCCUAGGUUCUGGAUCACUUA